CAACUGAGUGGACAUAAAGUGGAAAGAGGGGGAAAUAACUCCCAAGAUGCAGCAGGACUGCUGCAGGGUCUUUGUAAUGCACAUUUGAUAGUUAUAUUUUCAAUAAUGAAUGGUAAGCUGUUAUGUGACAACUAGGUCAAAAACUCUAUUUCAUUUUUUGGUGUAGAUGGCCAAGAAAGUUGCACAGAACUUCCAACAUCCCCUCCCACAUUGAUAUGGAACCUUCUGUGAAAAGAAAUGGCUGAGGAUAUACUAAAAAUGUCUGUUCAACAAAGCCAACAACUGCUUCAUGUGUGCCACUGAUAAAGAACCUGGAUGUGGCCCAAAGACUGACUGGAUUGAAUGUUUUGCAUGUCAACGGUGGUUCCAUGUGCUGUGCCUAGGAAUGAAGACAAAAUAGUUCAACAGAGUAAAGAAUACAAACUGGAAGUACAGUUUGUUGUUGAAAAUGUAUGCUAUACCCCAUCCACACUGAAGAGGCUCUGAAAUGUACAUCAACCAGGGAUAAAGAGAAAGUUAACACUGAAAUGUUUCAUACUUAUUUGAAGUUAAGUGUCUGGUGACAUGUUGGAAAAUACUACAAAUCUACAAUUUCUGUUUAAUUUGUCAAUAUUACAUUUUUAUUCAUUGAUUUUCUGGCCACCAUUACUGUGGUUACAUGUUCAGUAUAUGUAUCGACCAACAAACCCACUGCAGCCUACCUCACUAGCUCACUCUCCAUCCCUGCUUUGGAUAAUUAAUAGCAUGACUCUCGUACUUUGCCCUUUUCCUUUAUGGUUGAUAUUAACGAAGAAAGGAGAUAUUAUCUGUUUCUCUCCUAUUGUUAAAAACAGUGGAAAAAUAAAAAAACGGAAAAGAAGUACUUCGAACUACCAAUUAUUAUAGAUAAAUAUCAAAGAAAAGGGUAAACACAACACUGGACUGAACCUCCUAAUUGUCAAACUAAUAUUAAUGUACAACAAUAUAGAAGAUACAUGACUAGAGGUUAUGCAAUAUGGGUGUAUAUCCACUGCACGCUUCUUAGGUGUGUA